rnacentral:misc_RNA from 1 species
AAAUGCGAUAACUAGUGUGAAUUGCAGAAUUCCGUGAAUCAUCGAGUCUUUGAACACACAUUGCGCCCCCUGGUAUUCCGGGGGGCAUGCCUGUCCGAGCGUCAUUGCUGCCCAUCAAGCACGGCUUGUGUGUUGGGUCGUCGUCCCCUCUCCGGGGGGGACGGGCCCCAAAGGCAGCGGCGGCACCGCGUCCGAUCCUCGAGCGUAUGGGGCUUUGUCACCCGCUCUGUAGGCCCGGCCGGCGCUUGCCGAACGCAAAUCAAUCUUUUUCCAGGUUGACCUCGGAUCAGGUAGGGAUACCCGCUGAACUUAAGC